rnacentral:rRNA from 1 species
CCUACGGGAGGCAGCAGUGGGGAAUAUUGCACAAUGGGCGAAAGCCUGAUGCAGCGACGCCGCGUGAGUGAUGAAGGUCUUCGGAACGUAAAGCUCUGUCAGCAGGGAAGAAAGGUCACUGUGCUAAACAGCAGUGACUUGACGGUACCUGCAAAGGAAGCACCGGCUAACUCCGGGCCAGCAGCCGCGGUAAUACGGAGGGUGCGAGCGUUAAUCGGAAUUACUGGGCGGAAGGGGCUCGUAGGCGGUAUGUCAAGUCAAGGGUGAAAUCCCCGGGCUCAACGUGGGAACUGCCUUUGAAACUGGCAAGAUGGAGUGUGGGAGAGGAUAGUGGAAUUCCAGGUGUAGGGGUGAAAUCCGUAGAUAUCUGGAGGAACACCAGUGGCGAAGGCGACUAUCUGGCACAUAACUGACGCUGAGGUGCGAAAGCGUGGGUAGCAAACAGGAUUAGAUACCCGUGUAGUC